UAAGACGGGUAGCUGGUCUGAGAGGACGACCAGCCACACUGGAACUGAGACACGGUCCAGACACCUACGGGUGGCAGCAGUCGAGAAUUUUUCACAAUGGGCGCAAGCCUGAUGGAGCGACGCCGCGUGGGGGAUGAAUGGCUUCGGCCCGUAAACCCCUGUCAUUCGGGAUCAAUGCGUCUGGUUGAACAUUCCAGACGUUGAUAGUACCGGAAGAGGAAGGGACGGCCAACUCUGUGCCAGCAGCCGCGGUAAUACAGAGGUCCCAAGCGUUGUUCGGAUUUACUGGGCGUAAAGGGUGCGUAGGCGGUCGGGUAAGUCUGGUGUGAAAUUUCGGAGCUCAACUCCGAAACGGCAUUGGAUACUAUUCGGCUAGAGGUUGGGAAGGGAGACUGGAAUUCUCAGUGUAGCAGUGAAAUGCGUAGAUAUCGAGAGGAACACCAGUGGCGAAGGCGAGUCUCUGGACCAAUCCUGACGCUGAGGCACGAAAGCCAGGGGAGCAAACGGGAUUAGAUACCCCGGUAGUCCUGGCCCUAAACGGUGCAUGUUUGCUGUAAGAGGAAUCGACCCCUCUUGUGGCGGAGCUAACGCGUUAAACAUGCCGCCUGGGGAGUACGGUCGCAAGAUUAAAACUCAAAGAAAUUGACGGGGGCCUGCACAAGCGGUGGAGUAUGUGGCUCAAUUCGAUCAACGCGAAGAACCUUACCUGGCCUUGACAUGCAAGUGGUAGAAGGAUGAAAGUCUAACGACCCCGCAAGGGGAGCUUGCACAGGUGCUGCAUGGCUGUCGUCAGCUCGUGUCGUGAGAUGUUGGGUUAAGUCCCACAACGAGCGCAACCCCUGUGUCCUGUUGCCACCCGGCCGAGAGGCUGGAGCACUCUGGACAGACUGCCUCGCUUCAACGAGGAGGAAGGUGGGGAUGACGUCAAGUCAGGAUGGCCCUUACGGCCAGGGCUGCACACGUACUACAAUGCCCGGUACAAUGGGAAGCAAUACGGCAACGUGGAGCAAAUCCCCCAAAACCGGGCCCAGUUCAGAUUGUCGUCUGCAACUCGACGGCAUGAAGUUGGAAUCGCUAGUAAUGGCGCAUCAGCUACGGCGCCGUGAAUACGUUCCCAGGCCUUGUACACACCGCCCGUCACAUCAUGAAAGCCGGUCGUACCCGAAGUCAUUGUGCUAACCGCAAGGAAGCAGAUGCCGAAGGUAUGGCUGGUGAUUGGGAUGAAGUCGGAACAAGGUA
rnacentral:rRNA from 1 species